rnacentral:rRNA from 1 species
UACGGGGGGGGCAAGCGUUGUUCGGAAUUACUGGGCGUAAAGGGCUCGUAGGCGGCCAACUAAGUCAGACGUGAAAUCCCUCGGCUUAACCGGGGAACUGCGUCUGAUACUGGAUGGCUUGAGUUUGGGAGAGGGAUGCGGAAUUCCAGGUGUAGCGGUGAAAUGCGUAGAUAUCUGGAGGAACACCGGUGGCGAAGGCGGCAUCCUGGACCGACACUGACGCUGAGUGAGCGAAAGCCAGGGGAGCAAACGGG